rnacentral:rRNA from 1 species
AUUGAACGCUGGCGGCAGGCUUAACACAUGCAAGUCGAGCGAGCGGCGGACGGGUGAGUAAUGUCUGGGAAACUGCCUGAUGGUGGGGGAUAACUACUGGAAACGGUAGCUAAUACCGCAUACCAUCAGAUGUGCCCAGAUGGGAUUAGCUAGUAGGUGGGGUAAUGGCUCACCUAGGCGACGAUACCUAGCUGGUCUGUGAGGAUGACCAGCCACACUGGAACGAAGCCACGGUCCAUACUCCUACGGCAGGCAGCAGUGGGGAAUAUUGCACAAGGGGGGCAAGCCUGAUGCAGCCAGGCCGCGUGUGGGAAGAAGGCCUUCGGGUUGUAAAGCACUUUCAGCGAGGAGGCGUUACUCGCAGAAGAAGCACCGGCUAACUCCGUGCCAGCAGCCGCGGUAAUAC